AACGCUGGCGGCGUGCCUAAUACAUGCAAGUCGAACGGUCUUUCUAUGGAAGCUUGCUUCCACUGAGAAGAUAGUGGCGAACGGGUGAGUAACACGUGGGUAACCUGCCCAUAAGAGGGGGAUAACAUCCGGAAACGGGUGCUAAUACCGCAUAGUCUUCUUGAUUGCAUGAUUGAGAAAGGAAAGACGGCCUUUGUGCUGUCGCUUAUGGAUGGACCCGCGGCGUAUUAGUUAGUUGGUGAGGUAACGGCUCACCAAGACGAUGAUACGUAGCCGACCUGAGAGGGUGAUCGGCCACAUUGGGACUGAGACACGGCCCAAACUCCUACGGGAGGCAGCAGUAGGGAAUCUUCCGCAAUGGACGAAAGUCUGACGGAGCAACGCCGCGUGAGUGAAAGAAGGUUUUCGGAUCGUAAAACUCUGUUGUCAGAGAAGAACAAGUUGGAGAGUAACUGCUCCAGCCUUGACGGUAUCUGACCAGAAAGCCACGGCUAACUACGUGCCAGCCGCGGC
rnacentral:rRNA from 1 species